GUUUUAAGGUUAAGGAUAUUUAAAUAAUUUUCAUUCUCAAAACUAAAAAAAAAAAAAGAAACCCCCAAACCCUUACUCACCUCCCUCAUUCCUCUCAACCCUUUCUCUUUCAUCUCUCUCACUCCAACAUUUUUGUCAUCCUUAUUACCCCAAUUGAAAAAAAAAAAAAAAACCAGAAACUCGUGCCUAACCCUAAUCCACCUUUCUCACUUAUCCAAUUUGUUUCUC
rnacentral:lncRNA from 1 species